rnacentral:rRNA from 1 species
CUACGGGGCGCACCAGUGAGGAAUAUUGCACAAUGGGGGGAACCCUGAUGCAGCAACGCCGCGUGGAGGAUGACGCAUUUCGGUGUGUAAACUCCUUUUAUAUGUCAAGAAAAUGACGGUAGCAUAUGAAUAAGCACCGGCUAACUCCGUGCCAGCAGCCGCGGUAAUACGGAGGGUGCAAGCGUUACUCGGAAUCACUGGACGUAAAGGACGCGUAGGCGGGUUGGAAAGUCAGGUGUGAAAUCCUACAGCUUAACUGUAGAACUGCACUUGAAACUUCUAAUCUAGAGUAUGGGAGGGGGAGAUGGAAUUAGUGGUGUAGGGGUAAGAUCCGUAGAUAUCACUAGGAAUACCUAAAGCGAAGGCGAUCUCCUGGAACAUUACUGACGCUAAGGCGUGAAAGCGUGGGGAGCAAACAGGAUUAGAUACCCCCGUAGUC